CCUACGGUGGGCAGCAGUGGGGAAUAUUGCACAAUGGGGGAAACCCUGAUGCAGCGACGUCGCGUGGGCGAAGAAGUAUUUCGGUACGUAAAGCCCUAUCAGCAGGGAAGAUAAUGACGGUACCUGACUAAGAAGCUCCGGCUAAAUACGUGCCAGCAGCCGCGGUAAUACGUAUGGAGCAAGCGUUAUCCGGAUUUACUGGGUGUAAAGGGAGAGCAGGCGGCUAAGUAAGUUGGGUGUGAAAGCCCGGGGCUCAACCCCGGGACUGCACCCAAAACUGCAUAGCUAGAGUAUCGGAGGGGCAAGCGGAAUUCCUAGUGUAGCGGUGAAAUGCGUAGAUAUUAGGAGGAACACCGGUGGCGAAGGCGGCUUGCUGGACGAUAACUGACGCUGAGUCUCGAAAGCGUGGGGAGCAAACAGGAUUAGAUACCCGAGUAGUC
rnacentral:rRNA from 1 species